UUCCGGUUGAUCCUGCCGGACCUGACUGCUAUCGGAUUGAUACUAAGCCAUGCGAGUCAUUGUAGCAAUACAAGGCAGACGGCUCAGUAACGCGUAGUCAACCUAACCUAUGGACGAGAAUAACCUCGGGAAACUGAGAAUAAUGCUCGAUAGAACACUAUACCUGGAAUGGUUUGUGUUCCAAAUGAUUUAUCGCCGUAGGAUGGGACUGCGGCCUAUCAGUUUGUUGGUGAGGUAAUGGCCCACCAAGACUAUUACAGGUACGGGCUCUGAGAGGAGUAGCCCGGAGAUGGGUACUGAGGCACGGACCCAGGCCCUAUGGGGCGCAGCAGGCGAGAAAACUUUGCAAUGUGCGAAAGCACGACAAGGUUAAUCCGAGUGAUUUGUGCUAAACGAAUCUUUUGUUAGUCCUAGAAACACUAACGAAUAAGGGGUGGGCAAGUUCUGGUGUCAGCCGCCGCGGUAAAACCAGCACCUCAAGUGGUCAGGAUGAUUAUUGGGCCUAAAGCAUCCGUAGCCGGCUCUGUAAGUUUUCGGUUAAAUCUGUAUGCUCAACGUACAGGCUGCCGGGAAUACUGCAGAGCUAGGGAGUGGGAGAGGUAGACGGUACUCGGUAGGAAGGGGUAAAAUCCUUUGAUCUAUUGAUGACCACCUGUGGCGAAGGCGGUCUACCAGAACACGUCCGACGGUGAGGGAUGAGAGCUGGGGGAGCAAACCGGAUUAGAUACCCGGGUAGUCCCAGCUGUAAACUAUGCAAACUCAGUGAUGCAUUGACUUGUGGUCAAUGCAGUGCCGCAGGGAAGCCGUUAAGUUUGCCGCCUGGGAAGUACGUACGCAAGUAUGAAACUUAAAGGAAUUGGCGGGGGAGCACCACAAAGGGUGAAGCCUGCGGUUCAAUUGGAUUCAACGCCGGGAAUCACUAGU
rnacentral:rRNA from 1 species